rnacentral:rRNA from 1 species
GAACGGGUGAGUAAUAUAUCGGAACGUGUCCAAUAAUGGGGGAUAACUAGUCGAAAGAUUAGCUAAUACCGCAUACGCCCUGAGGGGGAAAGUGGGGGAUCUUCGGACCUCACGUUAAUGGAGCGGCCGAUAUCUGAUUAGCUAGUUGGUAGGGUAAAAGCCUACCAAGGCGACGAUCAGUAGCUGGUCUGAGAGGAUGAUCAGCCACACUGGGACUGAGACACGGCCCAGACUCCUACGGGAGGCAGCAGUGGGGAAUUUUGGACAAUGGGCGCAAGCCUGAUCCAGCCAUGCCGCGUGAGUGAAGAAGGCCUUCGGGUUGUAAAGCUCUUUCGCAAGGAAAGAAAACUUACAUGUAAAUAAUGUGUGAGGUUGACGGUACCUUGAUAAGAAGCACCGGCUAACUACGUGCCAGCAGCCGCGGUAAUACGUAGGGUGCAAGCGUUAAUCGGAAUUACUGGGCGUAAAGCGAGCGCAGGCGGUUUUGUUAGUCAGAUGUGAAAGCCCCGGGCUCAACCUGGGAACUGCGUUUGAAACUACAAGGCUAGAGUAUGGGAGAGGGGGGUAGAAUUCCACGUGUAGCAGUGAAAUGCGUAGAGAUGUGGAGGAAUACCAAUG